AUGCUUUGGCAGCACAUAUACAGAGUGAUACAGAGAAGAUUAGCAUGGCCCCUGUACGACAUGCAAAUUUGUGAAGUGUUCCAUAUUUUU
rnacentral:snRNA from 1 species